AUACGUAGGGUGCAAGCGUUAAUCGGAAUUACCGGGCGUAAAGCGUGCGCAGGCGGUUUUGUAAGACAGAGGUGAAAUCCCCGGGCUCAACCUGGGAACUGCCUUUGUGACUGCAAGGCUAGAGUACGGCAGAGGGGGAUGGAAUUCCGCGUGUAGCAGUGAAAUGCGUAGAUAUGCGGAGGAACACCGAUGGCGAAGGCAAUCACCUGGGCCUGUACUGACGCUCAUGCACGAAAGCGUGGGGAGCAAACAGGAUUAGAUACCCUGGUAGUCCACGCCCUAAACGAUGUCAACUGGUUGUUGGGGAUUUAUUUUCUCAGUAACGAAGCUAACGCGUGAAGUUGACCGCCUGGGGAGUACGGCCGCAAGGUUAAAACUCAAAUGAAUUGGCGGGG
rnacentral:rRNA from 1 species